rnacentral:rRNA from 1 species
UUAAGCGACUAAGCGUACACGGUGGAUGCCCUGGCAGUCAGAGGCGAUGAAGGGCGUGCUAAUCUGCGAUAAGCGCCGGUAAGGUGAUAUGAACCGUUAUAACCGGCGAUACCCGAAUGGGGAAACCCAGUGUGAUUCGUCACACUAUCAUUAACUGAAUCCAUAGGUUAAUGAGGCGAACCGGGGGAACUGAAACAUCUAAGUACCCCGAGGAAAAGAAAUCAACCGAGAUUCCCCCAGUAGCGGCGAGCGAACGGGGAGGAGCCCAGAGCCUGAAUCAGCAUGUGUGUUAGUGGAAGCGUCUGGAAAGGCGCGCGAUACAGGGUGACAGCCCCGUACACAAAAGCGCAUGUGUUGUGAGCUCGAUGAGUAGGGCGGGACACGUGGUAUCCUGUCUGAAUAUGGGGGGACCAUCCUCCAAGGCUAAAUACUCCUGACUGACCGAUAGUGAACCAGUACCGUGAGGGAAAGGCGAAAAGAACCCCGGCGAGGGGAGUGAAAAAGAACCUGAAACCGUGUACGUACAAGCAGUGGGAGCACAGGUUUACCUGUGUGACUGCGUACCUUUUGUAUAAUGGGUCAGCGACUUAUAUUCUGUAGCAAGGUUAACCGUAUAGGGGAGCCGGAGGGAAACCGAGUCUUAACCGGGCGUUAAGUUGCAGGGUAUAGACCCGAAACCCGGUGAUCUAGCCAUGGGCAGGUUGAAGGUUGGGUAACACUAACUGGAGGACCGAACCGACUAAUGUUGAAAAAUUAGCGGAUGACCUGUGGCUGGGGGUGAAAGGCCAAUCAAACCGGGAGAUAGCUGGUUCUCCCCGAAAGCUAUUUAGGUAGCGCCUCGUGAAUUCAUCUCCGGGGGUAGAGCACUGUUUCGGCUAGGGGGCCAUCCCGGCUUACCAACCCGAUGCAAACUGCGAAUACCGGAGAAUGUUAUCACGGGAGACACACGGCGGGUGCUAACGUCCGUCGUGAAGAGGGAAACAACCCAGACCGCCAGCUAAGGUCCCAAAGUCAUGGUUAAGUGGGAAACGAUGUGGGAAGGCCCAGACAGCCAGGAUGUUGGCUUAGAAGCAGCCAUCAUUUAAAGAAAGCGUAAUAGCUCACUGGUCGAGUCGGCCUGCGCGGAAGAUGUAACGGGGCUAAACCAUGCACCGAAGCUGCGGCAGCGACGCUUAUGCGUUGUUGGGUAGGGGAGCGUUCUGUAAGCCUGUGAAGGUGUGUCGUGAGGCAUGCUGGAGGUAUCAGAAGUGCGAAUGCUGACAUAAGUAACGAUAAAGCGGGUGAAAAGCCCGCUCGCCGGAAGACCAAGGGUUCCUGUCCAACGUUAAUCGGGGCAGGGUGAGUCGACCCCUAAGGCGAGGCCGAAAGGCGUAGUCGAUGGGAAACAGGUUAAUAUUCCUGUACUUGGUGUUACUGCGAAGGGGGGACGGAGAAGGCUAUGUUGGCCGGGCGACGGUUGUCCCGGUUUAAGCGUGUAGGUGUGUGUUCCAGGUAAAUCCGGUUCACUUUAACACUGAGGCGUGAUGACGAGGCACUACGGUGCUGAAGCAACAAAUGCCCUGCUUCCAGGAAAAGCCUCUAAGCAUCAGGUAACAUCAAAUCGUACCCCAAACCGACACAGGUGGUCAGGUAGAGAAUACCAAGGCGCUUGAGAGAACUCGGGUGAAGGAACUAGGCAAAAUGGUGCCGUAACUUCGGGAGAAGGCACGCUGACACGUAGGUGAAGUGAUUUACUCAUGGAGCUGAAGUCAGUCGAAGAUACCAGCUGGCUGCAACUGUUUAUUAAAAACACAGCACUGUGCAAACACGAAAGUGGACGUAUACGGUGUGACGCCUGCCCGGUGCCGGAAGGUUAAUUGAUGGGGUCAGCGCAAGCGAAGCUCCUGAUCGAAGCCCCGGUAAACGGCGGCCGUAACUAUAACGGUCCUAAGGUAGCGAAAUUCCUUGUCGGGUAAGUUCCGACCUGCACGAAUGGCGUAAUGAUGGCCAGGCUGUCUCCACCCGAGACUCAGUGAAAUUGAACUCGCUGUGAAGAUGCAGUGUACCCGCGGCAAGACGGAAAGACCCCGUGAACCUUUACUAUAGCUUGACACUGAACAUUGAGCCUUGAUGUGUAGGAUAGGUGGGAGGCUUUGAAGCGUGGACGCCAGUCUGCGUGGAGCCGACCUUGAAAUACCACCCUUUAAUGUUUGAUGUUCUAACGUGGACCCGUGAUCCGGGUUGCGGACAGUGUCUGGUGGGUAGUUUGACUGGGGCGGUCUCCUCCUAAAGAGUAACGGAGGAGCACGAAGGUUGGCUAAUCCUGGUCGGACAUCAGGAGGUUAGUGCAAUGGCAUAAGCCAGCUUGACUGCGAGCGUGACGGCGCGAGCAGGUGCGAAAGCAGGUCAUAGUGAUCCGGUGGUUCUGAAUGGAAGGGCCAUCGCUCAACGGAUAAAAGGUACUCCGGGGAUAACAGGCUGAUACCGCCCAAGAGUUCAUAUCGACGGCGGUGUUUGGCACCUCGAUGUCGGCUCAUCACAUCCUGGGGCUGAAGUAGGUCCCAAGGGUAUGGCUGUUCGCCAUUUAAAGUGGUACGCGAGCUGGGUUUAGAACGUCGUGAGACAGUUCGGUCCCUAUCUGCCGUGGGCGCUGGAGAACUGAGGGGGGCUGCUCCUAGUACGAGAGGACCGGAGUGGACGCAUCACUGGUGUUCGGGUUGUCAUGCCAAUGGCACUGCCCGGUAGCUAAAUGCGGAAGAGAUAAGUGCUGAAAGCAUCUAAGCACGAAACUUGCCCCGAGAUGAGUUCUCCCUGAGACUUAGAGUCUCCUGAAGGAACGUUGAAGACGACGACGUUGAUAGGCCGGGUGUGUAAGCGCAGCGAUGCGUUGAGCUAACCGGUACUAAUGAACCGUGAGGCUUAACCUU